rnacentral:rRNA from 1 species
AACGAUCGCUGGCGGCAGGCCUAACACAUGCAAGUCGAGCGAAUGAGGGAAGCUUGCUUCCCGAUUUAGCGGCGGACGGGUGAGUAAUGCCUAGGAAUCUGCCUAUUAGUGGGGGAUAACGUUCCGAAAGGAACGCUAAUACCGCAUACGUCCUACGGGAGAAAGUGGGGGAUCUUCGGACCUCACGCUAAUAGAUGAGCCUAGGUCGGAUUAGCUAGUUGGUGAGGUAACGGCUCACCAAGGCGACGAUCCGUAGCUGGUCUGAGAGGAUGAUCAGCCACACUGGAACCGAGACACGGUCCAGACUCCUACGGGAGGCAGCAGUGGGGAAUAUUGGACAAUGGGCGAAAGCCUGAUCCAGCCAUGCCGCGUGUGUGAAGAAGGUCUUCGGAUUGUAAAGCACUUUAAGUUGGGAGGAAGGGUUGUAAGCUAAUAUCUUGCAGCUUUGACGUUACCAACAGAAUAAGCACCGGCUAACUCUGUGCCAGCAGCCGCCGUAACAC